rnacentral:rRNA from 1 species
AGAGUGAACGCUGGCGGUAGGCCUAACACAUGCAAGUCGAACGGCAGCACAGUGGUAGCAAUACCAUGGGUGGCGAGUGGCGGACGGGUGAGGAAUACAUCGGAAUCUACCUUUUCGUGGGGGAUAACGUAGGGAAACUUACGCUAAUACCGCAUAAGACCUUCGGGUGAAAGCCGGGGACCUUCGGGCCUGGCGCGGAUAGAUGAGCCGAUGUCGGAUUAGCUUGUUGGCGGGGUAAAAGCCCACCAAGGCGACGAUCCGUAGCUGGUCUGAGAGGAUGAUCAGCCACACUGGAACUGAGACACGGUCCAGACUCCUACGGGAGGCAGCAGUGGGGAAUAUUGGACAAUGGGCGCAAGCCUGAUCCAGCCAUACCGCGUGGGUGAAGAAGGCCUGGUUGUAAGCCGUUUGUUGGAAAGAAUACCUGACCGGUUAAUAACCAGUAGGAGUGACGUACCCGAAAGAACUAAGACACCGGACUAACUUCGUCG